UACGAAGGGGGCUAGCGUUGCUCGGAAUCACUGGGCGUAAAGCGCACGUAGGCGGUCUGUUAUGUCGGAUGUGAAAGCCCUUGGCUCAACUGAGGAAGUGCAUCCGAAACUGGCAGGCUGGAGUACGUAAGAGGGUCGCGGAAUUCCCGGUGUAGAGGUGAAAUUCGUAGAUAUCGGGAGGAACACCGGUGGCGAAGGCGGCGACCUGGGACGAUACUGACGCUGAGGUGCGAAAGCGUGGGGAGCAAACAGG
rnacentral:rRNA from 1 species